rnacentral:lncRNA from 1 species
CCUGGGACAGUUGGUGGCACUCUGUGAGACUACUCUGAGACCAGUCCUUUCCAUCAUGGGCUCCUGUGGAAAAUGACCCCAGCUCAGCUCAGUAGUUGAUGGGACAUCUGAUUCAGGUUGGACCCAGCCCAGACAUCUGAUUCAAACAAUAUUCUUCUCCAGGAAUUUUGUAACCAGCACUGGUAAAGGGAGGGAAGUGCUCCCCAAAUGUGAGACUUGGAAACCAAAGGCCGCCAUGUUUUCUGUCUCAUGAUGGAAUCCAAUCUUCUUUGGCGGGGAAAAUAAAUGAAGCCAACACCAGUAGGUAUAA